rnacentral:rRNA from 1 species
UACGUAGGGUGCAAGCGUUAAUCGGAAUUACUGGGCGUAAAGCGUGCGCAGGCGGUUUUGUAAGUCUGACGUGAAAUCCCCCGGGCUCAACCUGGGAAUUGCGUUGGAGACUGCAAGGCUAGAAUCUGGCAGAGGGGGGUAGAAUUCCACGUGUAGCAGUGAAAUGCGUAGAGAUGUGGAGGAACACCGAUGGCGAAGGCAGCCCCCUGGGUCAAGAUUGACGCUCAUGCACGAAAGCGUGGGGAGCAAACAGG